rnacentral:tRNA from 1 species
UCCCUGGUGGCUCAGAUGGUAAAGCAUCUGUCUGCAAUGCAGGAUACCUGGGUUCAAUCCCUGGAUUGGGAA